rnacentral:rRNA from 1 species
GGGUGGCGAGCGGCGGACGGGUGAGUAAUGCCUGGGAAAUUGCCCUGAUGUGGGGGAUAACCAUUGGAAACGAUGGCUAAUACCGCAUGAUGCCUACGGGCCAAAGAGGGGGACCUUCGGGCCUCUCGCGUCAGGAUAUGCCCAGGUGGGAUUAGCUAGUUGGUGAGGUAAGGGCUCACCAAGGCGACGAUCCCUAGCUGGUCUGAGAGGAUGAUCAGCCACACUGGAACUGAGACACGGUCCAGACUCCUACGGGAGGCAGCAGUGGGGAAUAUUGCACAAUGGGCGCAAGCCUGAUGCAGCCAUGCCGCGUGUGUGAAGAAGGCCUUCGGGUUGUAAAGCACUUUCAGUUGUGAGGAAGGUGGUGUCGUUAAUAGCGGCAUCAUUUGACGUUAGCAACAGAAGAAGCACCGGCUAACUCCGUGCCAGCAGCCGCGGUAAUACGGAGGGUGCGAGCGUUAAUCGGAAUUACUGGGCGUAAAGCGCAUGCAGGUGGUUUGUUAAGUCAGAUGUGAAAGCCCGGGGCUCAACCUCGGAACUGCAUUUGAAACUGGCAGACUAGAGUACUGUAGAGGGGGG